AACCCUACAAUUGAAGAACUCCAAUGUCUCUUCGCCCCUAACUUCGUACAUCUUUCCCGACUCCAUUGGAGAACUCAUCGACCCCAACGGAAUACGCUUGGUCCAGUUUGUUGGUUUUGCAACCAUUAUCUGUUCGACCGAUUUUCUUUCGUUUAAGCCACGACCACCUUCUUCUCUGCUGGAAUCUACAACAAACUUCUGGUAAGUGUGAUUUUGGGUUUAAAUGUGCAUGUCAAUGUUGUUGAGCGUAUGUGUAUUUGUUGGAAAAACACCUCCCAAUGAAUGCCCAAAGAUCAAACUAAGUUGGCAAAGUGAAAAUUUCCAAUAUGCUUGAAGAACAAGAAAAUGAGGAAGAAAUGAAUUCCAAUGGAAUAUAUGAUAAUCAAUGUGUUUGGAUUACUUGAACAAGCCUCAAGUUAAUCCCCAAGAAAGAAAAUACCUUUGAAUUUAUUCCCAAGAUGAACAACCUUCAAUCUUGUAAAAAUUCUCUCCAAAGUUUUCUCUCUUUUCUCUCUAGGUCUUGUGUUGUAAGAAAGAGGCAAAAAAUCGGAUAUAUAUACUCUCUCGGGGCGCCUAGGCGCCACUGUUCCUGCCUGGAGAUAACACUCGGGGCGCCUAGGCGCCCACUCCUGGCGCCUGGGCGCCCCGACAGAUGGGCGCCUAGCAGAACAGCCCCUUCUCCCCUUUCUUCCCAGCUUCUCUUCUUCUCCUUCUUCUCACAAUUCUCCACUUCGUACAUCAUUUGAUAGACCUCAAAUUUUGGACGAACACAAGAAGAAGAAACAAGCACCAACUCGGCUGUAUCAUUCAAACCAUGAUUGCCUACGUACCCAUAACUCGGGAUCAAGCCUCCGUAGUUCACCUCCACCUUCAUAUAAACUCCAUCUUAUUUCAACCUCGCCCCGAAGGGCCAUGCCCUCUCGAGCAUAUCAACAUGGACUAAUGUGAAGCAAGUCCAAGCAAUGUUGAAACUUGCUACCCGUCACCACUUUGGUUAACAUGUCAGCUCGGUUCUCAUUUGUGUGUACCUUCGAGAGUGAAAUAUCACCUUCCUCUAUAACAUCACGCACAAAAUGAUACCUGACGUCAAUAUGCUUGGUUCGAGCAUGAUGAACCUGAUUCUUAGCCAAGUGAAUCACACUCUGGCUAUCACACCACAAGUCCACACAAUCCUGCUCAAUCCCCAAAUCAUCUAGAAGACCCCAUAACCACAAUGCUUCCUUCACUCCCUCUGCCAUGGCCAUAUACUCGGCCUCUGUGGUAGAAAGAGCAACUGUAGCUUGUAACGUCGAUCGCCAACUAACUGGGACACCAUGUAUGCAAAACACAUAUCCAGUAGUAGAUCGUCGUCUAUCUAGAUCACCUGCAUAAUCCGAGUCCACAAACCCACUUAUAUGACAUGCAUCUCCACCAAAACAUAGACCCGUAUCCGCGGUACCUUUUAAGUACCUCAGGAUCCAUUUCACAGCUUCCCAGUGUGCCUUCCCCGGAUUNNNNNNNNNNNNNNNNNNNNNNNNNNNNNNNNNNNNNNNNNNNNNNNNNNNNNNNNNNNNNNNNNNNNNNNNNNNNNNNNNNNNNNNNNNNNNNNNNNNNNNNNNNNNNNNNNNNNNNNNNNNNNNNNNNNNNNNNNNNNNNNNNNNNNNNNNNNNNNNNNNNNNNNNNNNNNNNNNNNNNNNNNNNNNNNNNNNNNNNNNNNNNNNNNNNNNNNNNNNNNNNNNNNNNNNNNNNNNNNCAUGCUUUAGCAUGAAGGAGUCAAAUCGCUUGUACCACUGUCGAGGAGUUGCUUCAAUCCAUAUAGUGAUUUUCUCAAGUGACAUACCUGACGUUCCUUAUCCUCAACCUUGUAGCCGUCAGGUUGAUGCAUAUAGAUCUCCUCAUCCAAGUCCCUGUGCAAGAAGGCGGUUUUGACAUCGAGUUGUUCCAGCUCAAGAUCAUGAUGAGCAACAAUACUCAAUAGCACCCGAAUGGAAGUGUGCUUGACCACAGGAGAAAAGAUCUCAUUGUAGUCAACUCCCUCUCUUUGUGCAAACCCCUUAGCCACUAACCUCGCUUUGAAUCUUGUGCCACCGAGCUUGGUAGGAUCCUCCUUCUUUUUAUACAACCACUUGCAACCAAUAGCUUUCUUACCUAUGGGCAAUGAGACAACCUCCCAUGUUUGGUUCUUGUGAAGUGAUUCCAUCUCUUCUUCCAUUGCCGCCAACCAACUCUCGCUAUUAUUGUUUAAAAUAGCUUCCUUGAAAGUGGUAGGCUCAUCAUCCUCCACCGAGAGUGCAUACUCAACCAAAUUUGUCUGCCCAUAGUGCCUCAAAGGCUCAUCUGACCCCAACUUUAGAACUUGCUUGUAAGUAUGGCGUGGCCUAGAUGAAGCCAAGUUAUCUGCAAGCUGCUGCUGUUGCUGUGCCUGUACAUUCUCUUGCUGAAUCGCCUCUUUUUCAAGUGCAUCAUCACUCUCAUCUUGAGUGUCGGUUUGAUGCUCCUCUUGAACAUGCCUAGAAUCAGGUUGAUCUCUAGGUUCUAUGUCAACAACUUGAGACAUUGUAGUCUCAACAUCAUCACCACCGGGCACUGUAGCUUUCAACGAAGCUACCAUGGAGUUCUCAUCAAAGGUAACAUCUCUGCUGAUUAUGAACUUAGAAUCCUCUAAACACCAAAGGCGAUAGCCUUUAACACCUGCCGCAUACCCCAAGAAUAUAGCCUUCUUGGCCCUCGCAUCAAGCUUUCCCCCGUUGACAUGAUAGUAGGCUGUGCAUCCGAAUGUUCUGAGCUUCUCAUAAUCUGCAUGUUCUCCUGUCAGUACCCUAUAAGGUACAUCUCCAUCUAACCUUGAAUGUGGAGACCGGUUCACAAUAUAGCAAGCAUUUGCAACUGACUCUGCCCACCUUUCUUUGCCCAAACCAGCAUAGGAUCGCAUACACAUUGAUUUCUCUCGAAAUGUGCGAUUCAGUCUUUCCGCGACCCCAUUCUGUUGCGGUGUAUUUCUUACUGUCCAGUGUCUCACAAUGCCUUCCUUACCACAGAACUCCUUGAAAGCACCAUCUGUAUACUCAGUACCGUUAUUAGAUCUCAGUGUCUUCAACUUCUUUCCUGUUCUGUUUUCAUCCAUUGCUUUCCACUUCUUGAAGGUGUCGAAUACCUCAUUCUUAUGCUUCAAAAAAUAAAUCCAAGCAUAUCUAGAAUAAUCAUCAACAAAUGUAACAAAAUACCUGGAACCGCCUUUGGAAGUGACAGAAGUCGGAUCCCAUAUAUCCGUGUGCACAUAAUCAAGAAUGCCUCUGCUUCUAUGUUUGCUUGGCUGGAACUGAACUCGAUGUGCUUUACCGCACACGCAAUGCUCGCAAAAAUCCAUGCAAGGCUUCUUCAAGUUCUUUAGCAAACCUUUCUUGACUAGCAAAUCUAGCCCCUUUUCAGACAUAUGCCCAAGCCUCCUAUGCCAUAGCCGAGUGCACUCACAUGGGUCUCCACCACUUCCACUUGUUCCAACUGCUACAUCUUCAGUAACUGUAGUACCCUGAAGAGCAUAGAGAUUGCCUUCACGAAUACCAUUCAUCACAAUCAAGGAACCACGAACAACCUUCUUUACUCCAUUCCAUGUUACAAUCUUGCAACCACCGGAGUCUAAAGCACCAACAGAGAUAAGGUUCUUUCGCAAAUCAGGAACAUGUCUAACAUCCAUCAAUGUUCUAACCACUCCAUCAUGCAUCUUGAUUCUAAUUGAACCAAGCCCCACCGUUUUACAUGAAUGGUUAUUACCCAUCAACACGGUUCCACUCUCAGUGCUUCUAUAGGUAGUAAACCACUUCCUAUUUGGACACAUAUGGUAAGAGCAUCCGGAGUCAAGAAUCCACUUACCGGAGGUCUCUUCAUCACAAGAGAUUGUGUAGCACUCAUCGCUUUCCCCUCCUUCCGAUGCAUAGCUUACCUCUUGCUUGACUUGCACCUUCCCACUGUUGUUGUUCUUGUUGUUCUUCUUCCAACCCCUUUUGUUUGGACAAUUCGCCUUGAAAUGCCCAAACUCGCCACAUUUGAAACAAGACCUUUCCGCAAGAGGUCUAGAACUCGAUCUAGAUUUUUCUCCCUUGUCCUUUGGUCGCACAUUGCUUCUACCCCUUACAAACAAUCCUUGAGCUUGCUCCUUGUUACCAAUGGUAGACAUGCCACUAGUUGCAAUCUUUCAAAAAUCAUCCGCUAGAAGUGACGUUCUAGUGUCCUCCAUCACAAGUUUAUCACCCACAAGCAUCAAUGUUUGUACUAGGUUCUCGUAAGACUUUGGCAAUGAAAGAAGUAGUAGAAGUGCUUGAUCCUCAUCAUCAACAUCCACAUCAAUGUUUUUCAAGUCCGAUAUGAUCCUAUCAAACUUGUUGACGUACUCUCGGAUUGGUAUACCUUCAUCCAUCUUGCAAGUAUACAAUUUGGACUUCAAGUAGAUCCGAUUUGUUAGAGUCUUCGUCAUGAAGUUCGCCUCCAACUUUGUCCACACCUCCGCCGUCGUUACCUCACUAUCAACCAAGAAAGCAACAUCUCUUUCAAGGCAAAGAAUGAUAGACGCUCGUGCCUCAAGAUCUAACUCUUCCCAAUCCUCGUCCGACAUAUCAACGUGCUUCUUCUCCUUUCCCGCCAAUGCUUUGUGCAACUUUUGAGAAAUCAACAAAUUUUUUAUUUGCAUUCUGCAAUAUGAAAAAUCAUUCUUCCCAUUGAAUUUCUCUAUCUCAUACUUCCCAAUCUUCACCAUUCCUCUAGUAGACAUGAUUUACUCACUUGUUUACCGAAAAUAAACCACAAAAGUUCACUUGGGAAUUUUCACAAACACCUUGUGCACAACAAAGUUCAAGCAACUCACCACAAAAUCGAAGCUUAACCACCUUGAUUUAGGAUGUAGCUCUGAUACCAAAUUGUUGGGAAAACACCUCCCAAUGAAUGCCCAAAGAUCAAACUAAGUUGGCAAAGUGAAAAUUUCCAAUAUGCUUGAAGAACAAGAAAAUGAGGAAGAAAUGAAUUCCAAUGGAAUAUAUGAUAAUCAAUGUGUUUGGAUUACUUGAACAAGCCUCAAGUUAAUCCCCAAGAAAGAAAAUACCUUUGAAUUUAUACUCAAGAUGAACAACCUUCAAUCUUGUAAAAAUUCUCUCCAAAGUUUUCUCUCUUUUCUCUCUAGGUCUUGUGUUGUAAGAAAAAGGCAAAAAAUCGGAUAUAUAUACUCUCUCGGGGCGCCUAGUGUGGCGCCUAGGCGCCAGGUUCCUGCCUGGAGAUAACACUCGGGGCGUGGCGCCCCGGCAGAACAGCCCCUUUUCCCCUUUCUUCCCAGCUUCUCUUCUCCUCCUUCUUCUCACAGUAUUUGCACAUGUAUUUGCAUAUUGCUUGGACGAAUUGAAUGUGUUUGGUCGAAAUUUGUGUGUUCAUGAAUUUGAAGUUGGAAUUGGAAUCCCUAUUGCCGAGCUUAUGUGUAUGGGUCUGAAUUGUAUGUUACUACCCUACUGUUCAUAUGAUUUUAAGCAUUUGUGUUCUAGCUGUAUAUGCCCAGAUUACAGCCCCACUAUUGAAUUGGAAUUUGAAAUAGUAAUUUUUUCCUAUUUUUUGAACUGAGGCUAUGAUGUAGUAGUUAGUUUCACUCUUUCACACUAAUUUUGUAAAAUGAAAUUUGGGAGGCACAGAUUGAAUUGGUUACUACGUUAUUGGCAUUUUUUCUUCGUGGUUGAGUGGCAACUUAUAAUGGGUGGAAAAAAUCAUAGAGUGUGUUAUAGUUGUAGACGUAUCGGUCACUUCUUCACGAAUUGUCCAAAUAAAACACCCAUGCCCAUCAUGCAAACAUUCAUUUGUGAAGUGCUUUGAGGUGGAGAAAGAUACUAAGAACAAAGGUAAAUGGUUCAAUUGUUGCAACGUGAACUAUAGAUAUUGCGAGUGGGUUGCAGCGGGUGAAACGGGCGGUGAAUCAAAUUUCGUUGGCUGUACAUGUACUAAGCCUUUGGCAAACAAAUGAGAUGAAGAUGUAUCCGGCAUGUUCGAAACCAUGUGUCGCCUAAGUCAUAAAAAAGACGUGGAGAUUUUCGUAAAUGUGACAAUACGUAAAGGAAAGGCAAUUGCAAAAGGGGAGAAGAAAUGAAAAGGGUGUGCCUAAUUUGUUGUUGAUAUAUCAAUCUGUUGUUUAGCGUAUGUUGUAACUGCGGCAGGAUGCCUGCCUAUCAUUUGGUGAAUGUUCA
rnacentral:lncRNA from 1 species